GAGUUUGAUCAUGGCUCAGGACGAACGCUGGCGGCGUGCCUAAUACAUGCAAGUAGAACGCUGAAGAGAGGAGCUUGCUCUUCUUGGAUGAGUUGCGAACGGGUGAGUAACGCGUAGGUAACCUGCCUGGUAGCGGGGGAUAACUAUUGGAAACGAUAGCUAAUACCGCAUAAAAUUGAUUAUUGCAUGAUAAUUGAUUGAAAGAUGCAAUUGCAUCACUACCAGAUGGACCUGCGUUGUAUUAGCUAGUUGGUGAGGUAACGGCUCACCAAGGCGACGAUACAUAGCCGACCUGAGAGGGUGAUCGGCCACACUGGGACUGAGACACGGCCCAGACUCCUACGGGAGGCAGCAGUAGGGAAUCUUCGGCAAUGGGGGGAACCCUGACCGAGCAACGCCGCGUGAGUGAAGAAGGUUUUCGGAUCGUAAAGCUCUGUUGUAAGAGAAGAACGGGUGUGAGAGUGGAAAGUUCACACUGUGACGGUAUCUUACCAGAAAGGGACGGCUAACUACGUGCCAGCAGCCGCGGUAAUACGUAGGUCCCGAGCGUUGUCCGGAUUUAUUGGGCGUAAAGCGAGCGCAGGCGGUUAGAUAAGUCUGAAGUUAAAGGCUGUGGCUUAACCAUAGUAUGCUUUGGAAACUGUUUAACUUGAGUGCAGAAGGGGAGAGUGGAAUUCCAUGUGUAGCGGUGAAAUGCGUAGAUAUAUGGAGGAACACCGGUGGCGAAAGCGGCUCUCUGGUCUGUAACUGACGCUGAGGCUCGAAAGCGUGGGGAGCAAACAGGAUUAGAUACCCUGGUAGUCCACGCCGUAAACGAUGAGUGCUAGGUGUUAGGCCCUUUCCGGGGCUUAGUGCCGCAGCUAACGCAUUAAGCACUCCGCCUGGGGAGUACGACCGCAAGGUUGAAACUCAAAGGAAUUGACGGGGGCCCGCACAAGCGGUGGAGCAUGUGGUUUAAUUCGAGGCAACGCGAAGAACCUUACCAGGUCUUGACAUCCCUCUGACCGCUCUAGAGAUAGAGUUUUCCUUCGGGACAGAGGUGACAGGUGGUGCAUGGUUGUCGUCAGCUCGUGUCGUGAGAUGUUGGGUUAAGUCCCGCAACGAGCGCAACCCCUAUUGUUAGUUGCCAUCAUUGAGUUGGGCACUCUAGCGAGACUGCCGGUAAUAAACCGGAGGAAGGUGGGGAUGACGUCAAAUCAUCAUGCCCCUUAUGACCUGGGCUACACACGUGCUACAAUGGCUGGUACAACGAGUCGCAAGCCGGUGACGGCAAGCUAAUCUCUGAAAGCCAGUCUCAGUUCGGAUUGUAGGCUGCAACUCGCCUACAUGAAGUCGGAAUCGCUAGUAAUCGCGGAUCAGCACGCCGCGGUGAAUACGUUCCCGGGCCUUGUACACACCGCCCGUC
rnacentral:rRNA from 1 species